AUUUACUUCGCGUGCUGAUUGAUUGUUUGAUUGUUUCAAAUACAAUGUGGGCAUUUUUAAAUGAUUGCUGCGGCAUCUGGAGCCUAUUGGGAUUCUGGAUAAUUAUCUUCAUGGGUCUGCCUGCUGUGGUGGCUUUUCGUUCCGACUUUGACACCAUGGAGCUGCAGCGAUGUCGCCUUUCGGGCUUGGACACCAGCAGCAUCGCCCUGUUUCUGGACGCUCUUUGAUGAUCACAAAAGGAAGUACGAAAGGCAAGGGGAGCAGGAUGUGGAGGAGAAGGAUGUGGACAAGCAGUAACAAAAAUGAAGCAUUGCAAAAGGAAAGGAAAGGAGAGGAAGCGGAGCUGAAGCUGAAGCUGGUUUCAGGCAAAAUUAAACAUAAUCAUGUGCUGCAUAAAUAUGCGAGUGGAGUGGGGAGUGGAGUGGGGAGUGGAGUGUGGCCCUGCUAUUGAUAUUUGGCUAAAAGCAGCAGCAGAGCAGCGACUGCCAGAGUUUGCACAGUGCAAACAGUGUGCAUUUCUGGAAGAGGGACCCACAUUCACAUACACAUACACUGGACACCCAGCACCCCAGCACCCACACCCCACACCCACACCCCACACCCACACCCCACACCCACCGACAGUAGUUAGAGUUCCAAAUCAAACAGUACUGCAACCCCCCGCACACACAUACGACACGGUCCGAUGAAUAUGUUUAUGCCAGUUGGCUUUGCAAUAACUUCAUAAAUAUUCACGAGGAACCAACUCUGGUACAUGCUGCAUGCUACAUGCUACAUGGCACCAUGGCUGCAUGGCCACAUGGCUACCAAUCCACAAAUCGAUGCACACAAAAUUUAAAUUCAAAUUCAAAUUCGUUAAAACAGAAGAGACAAACUGACAGAGACACAGAAGAGGAUAAUGGGACGAGAUUUAAUGUACAGGCAGAGGCACCGGCACAGGCAGAGGCACAGGCAGAGGCACAGGCAGAGGCACCGGCACAGGCGAUGGAAUGAAAUCAUAUAAAAUAUCAAUAAACCACACACAAAUUUAUGGCAGAAACAAACACACAGAGUGAGAGGGAGAGAGCAGCAGCAGGAGCAGCAGCAGGAGGAGCAGCAGGAGCAACAGAAGAAGAUCCCGAGACACAACCAGAGCCAGAGCCAGAGCCACAGCCAGCGGCAAAACGAUGACGAGCUGACGAUGUCAUUGUAAAUACCAUAAAGAAAAUCGUUGCCGACGUGCUGUGUCCAUGUCCCGUACUGCACCGUGUGCCCUUGUCUGUGUGUGUGUGUGUCUGUUGCCUCUUGCCGGUGCUUUCCUUACCCUUCGUAGCACGACCAAAGGAGCAUCCGCAUCGCAUCCAGGAAGCCCUGCAAAAUGUUAUUUAUUGGAAUUGUGUAAUAAAUGUUACCGAAAGUG